UACAGAGGGUGCGAGCGUUACCCGGAAUUACUGGGCGUAAAGCGUUGCGUAGGUGGUAUGUUAAGUGGCGUGCGAAAUCUCGGGGCUCAACCCCGAGUUGGUAGGCCAAACUAGCAUACUUGAGGUCAGUAGAGGUGAGUGGAAUUGCUUAAGUAGGAGUGAUAUCCGUAGAUAUGAGCAGGAACACCAAUGGCGAAGGCAGCUCACUGGACUGUACCUGACACUGAGGCACGAAAGCGUAGGUAGCGAACCGG
rnacentral:misc_RNA from 1 species